UACGUAGGGUGCAAGCGUUGUCCGGAAUUAUUGGGCGUAAAGAGCUCGUAGGCGGUCUGUCGCGUCUGCUGUGAAAACUCAGGGCUUAACCCUGAGCUUGCAGUGGGUACGGGCAGACUAGAGUGCGGUAGGGGAGACUGGAAUUCCUGGUGUAGCGGUGAAAUGCGCAGAUAUCAGGAGGAACACCGGUGGCGAAGGCGGGUCUCUGGGCCGUAACUGACGCUGGAGGAGCGAAAGCAUGGGGGAGCGAAACAGG
rnacentral:rRNA from 1 species